rnacentral:snoRNA from 1 species
GUGCUGUGAUGACUUCUUAGGACACCUUUGGAUCUUACAUGAAAAGAACCGAACUAAAAUCUGAGGCACC